rnacentral:rRNA from 1 species
GAUGAACGCUGGCGGCGUGCCUAAUACAUGCAAGUCGAGCGGAUGAAAGAGGAGCUUGCUCCUCUAGAUUCAGCGGCGGACGGGUGAGUAACACGUGGGCAACCUGCCCUGUAGAUUGGGAUAACUCCGGGAAACCGGGGCUAAUACCGAAUAAUCCUUCGGACCUCAUGGUCCGAUGUUGAAAGACGGUUUCGGCUGUCACUACAGGAUGGGCCCGCGGCGCAUUAGCUAGGUGGUGAGGUAACGGCUCACCAAGGCCACGAUGCGUAGCCGACCUGAGAGGGUGAUCGGCCACACUGGGACUGAGACACGGCCCAGACUCCUACGGGAGGCAGCAGUAGGGAAUCUUCCACAAUGGACGAAAGUCUGAUGGAGCAACGCCGCGUGAGUGAAGAAGGUUCUCGGAUCGUAAAACUCUGUUGUGAGGGAAGAACAAGUACCGGAGUAACUGUCGGUGCCUUGACGGUACCUCAUUAGAAAGCCACGGCUAACUACGUGCCAGCCGCCGCAGUAA